UGUCCGUGUUAGAUGUAGUAAUGUCAGAUGUGGUGUGUUAGCUGUCAGUCUCCCAGUGAUUCCUUGUGGCUUACCUUUAUUCCAUUUUGACUUUUCAAGAUCGUAAGUUUUUGUUGAAAUAAAUAUUUUUAUUUUUUCGUUCUGCACUUGGGUCCAGUUCCUGAUUUUCCACACCCAUGACAAUUUGUCCAUUGUUUGUCCCGCGACCUGCUGUGACUUUAAGAAAGAUGGUGAAAAAAGGCACUUCUUGCUGUGAAGUGAUGCGCUGACAUUCGCUCUGAAGUGGACCUGUUGCUCAUUAAAUCAGAGGGAACAACAGACUGCAGAGAGACAGAACAGCAGAGAGAGAGAGAGGAAUGACAUGCGGGAAAGGAGCCACAGGUAGGAUACGAACCCGGAGGACCUUGACCUUGGCGCAUGAGUGUUUCCUACAAUCUGAUUUUUAACUCGGCUGUAGAUAUCUAAGGAUGUCCAACGUUAUGUAAAUUUCCCUGUUGUGGGAUAAAUAAAGGAUAAUCUUAUCUUAUUAUUCACUCAUGAUUGUAACAGGAGUGAUAAAUGAUCAUCUUUCUCCUGUUUCACAUACUUCUGAAUUUUCCAUGAGAAAGCAUUAAUUUCA